AUGGUCAGCGGACUUGCAUCCUUCCUGCCUCCCCGUUUAUACAGAGCACUCAAAGCUGGUAGACAGAAUUCAUCGGGUUUGUGCUGGAAGGCAUUUUUGGGUUUUGUAAAACUUUCAUUGCUGCUCUUCCGCCGGCAUUUUAAAUCCAGCUCCAUACAACGCUCCGCCGCCGCUGCUGCCGUGACCAGGACUGCGCGCCAGCACCCCACUGCCGACAGCUCCGCCACUAUGGAGGACAUGAACGAGUACAGCAACAUAGAAGAAUUCGCAGAGGGAUCCAUGAUCAACGCGAGCAAGAAUCAGCAGGAUGACGGUUGUAGACUGUACGAUUAAAACAGAUCCCGUCACUGGAAGAUCAAGAGGAUUUGUAUUUGUGCUUUUUAAAGAUGCUGCUAGUGUUGAUAAGGUUUUGGAACUGAAAGAACACAAACUGGAUGGCAAAUUGAUAGACCCCAAAAGGGCCAAAGCUUUGAAAGGGAAAGAACCCCCUAAAAAGGUUUUUGUGGGUGGAUUGAGCCCAGAUACUUCUGAAGAACAAAUUGAAGAAUAUUUUGGAGCCUUUGGAGAGAUUGAAAAUAUUGAACUUCCCAUGGAUACAAAAACAAAUGAAAGAAGAGGAUUUUGUUUUAUCACAUAUACAGAUGAAGAGCCAGUAAAGAAAUUGUUAGAAAGCAGAUAUCAUCAAAUUGGUUUUGGGAAGUGUGAAAUCAAAGUUGCACUGCCCAAAGAGGUAUAUAGGCAGCAACAGUAACAACAAAAAGGAGGAAGAGGUGCUGCAGCUGGUGGGCGAGGUGGUACCAGGGGUCGUGGCCGAGGUCAACAGAGCACUUAUGGCAAGGCUUCUCGAGGGGGUGGCAAUCACCAAAAUAAUUACCAGCCAUACUAGAGGAGGACAUUGGAGAAAACAGGAGAUGCUAAAGAAACCCAUCUUGCAGGACGACAUUGAAGAUUGAUCUUCUGUUGAUCUAAGAUGAUUAUUUUGUAAAAGACUUUCUAGAGUUCAAGACACAACUACUGUGUCCAACUGUAUAUAGCCGCCAAUUAGUUUUCUUUGUUUUUACUUUGUCCUUUGCUAUCUGUGUUAUGACUCAAUGUGGAUUUGUGUUUAUACAAAUUUUAUUUGUAUGAUUUCAUGUUAAACCUCAAAUAAAUGCUUCCUUAUGUGA